rnacentral:rRNA from 1 species
AAUAGAUACCCUGGUAGUCCACGCCGUAAACGAUGAGUGCUAGGUGUUAGGGGGUCCAACCCUUAGUGCCGAAGUUAACACAUUAAGCACUCCGCCUGGGGAGUACGGUCGCAAGACUGAAACUCAAAGGAAUUGACGGGGGCCCGCACAAGCGGUGGAGCAUGUGGUUUAAUUCGAAGCAACGCGAAGAACCUUACCAGGGCUUGACAUCCCUCUGACCGUUCUAGAGAUAGAGCUUCCCUUCGGGGCAGAGGUGACAGGUGGUGCAUGGUUGUCGUCAGCUCGUGUCGUGAGAUGUUGGGUUAAGUCCCGCAACGAGCGCAACCCUUGUCCUUAGUUGCCAGCAUUCAGUUGGGCACUCUAGGGAGACUGCCGGUGACAAACCGGAGGAAGGUGGGGAUGACGUCAAAUCAUCAUGCCCCUUAUGUCCUGGGCUACACACGUGCUACAAUGGCUGGUACAAAGGGUAGCGAAGCAGUGAUGUGGAGCCAAUCCCAAAAAGCCAGUCACAGUUCGGAUUGUAGGCUGC